rnacentral:lncRNA from 1 species
UUCGAUUGGAGGGCAGUGGAACGUCAACUUUGGCAGCUGCUCAUGAACAACCGCUGGCGGCACCAAGCCCCAGUAAUGUUCCCUUGGAGGGCAGUGGAAUGUCACCUUCAACAGCUGCUCGUGAAGGGCCGAUGGCGGCACCAAGCCCAGGGAAUGUUCCAAUGGAAAGCAGCGGAACGUCACCUUUGGCAGCUGUUCAUGAAGAACCGGUGGCGACAUGUCCCUGUGACGUUCCAUUGG